rnacentral:lncRNA from 1 species
AUUCCUAAGGUUUCAUUUGGAAUUGCGGAAAGAUUGUGUUACGUGCGGUGGAAAAGUACAGUGAAAAAAUAUCAUGUUUGUUUUCGUGCGUAAUAUUGCGUUUCGCAUAUCGCGAUUAGUCGGUUACCAUAUAUUUUCUACGGUCUCACCGAAAAAUACAGAAACAUAUUCCUAUAUACUUUUUUUUCAAUUUUAUUUUAUCUAAUAAUAUUUGAUAGGUCUCAGAUUCUUAUUGAACUCUGACAUGUAAUUUAUCUUCUUCAAUAUACCACGUAUUGUACUUUUAAUUUGAUACAAAAU